UACGUAGGGGGCAAGCGUUGUCCGGAUUUAUUGGGCGUAAAGAGCGUGUAGGCGGCUUGGUAGGUCCGCUGUGAAAACUCGAGGCUCAACCUCGAGAUGUCGGCGGAAACCACUUGGCUAGAGUCCGGAAGAGGAGAGUGGAAUUCCCGGUGUAGCGGUGAAAUGCGCAGAUAUCGGGAAGAACACCUAUGGCGAAGGCAGCUCUCUGGGACGGUACUGACGCUGAGACACGAAAGCGUGGGGAGCGAACAGG
rnacentral:rRNA from 1 species